AUGACUCAUUAUACGGUCUAACGUACGACCCAGUGUGGCACCCAUGUCUUCAAAUUGGCCUAAUAUACGGCGCGAUCUGAAGCUUUCGUCAUCAAACCCCCGGAUGGCAUCUUUAAGCCCAUCUCCAUCAAGACCAACUGUCGAUUCUCAAGUGUAAAUUUUUGGGCAUUCUAGUGUUCAAUAAUCUUCCACCUCCAGACCACGAAUGACAUACACGCCAUCCUAACUCUCUCGGUUCAAGAAUAUUGAACAGGGGCAGCUGUCAUACCCCAAAAAUUACCCAUCAUUUUUCCUAAAAAAAAAAAAAAAAAAAAAAAAAAAAAAAAAAAAAAAA
rnacentral:lncRNA from 1 species